rnacentral:lncRNA from 1 species
AUGAGACCACCACCCAACUCCCUCGGCCCCGCCAUGCCCGGGAUUAACAUGGGCCCGGGAGCUGGCAGACCCUGGCCCAAUCCUAACAGUGCUAACUCAAUUCCAUACUCCUCCUCAUCACCUGGUACCUAUGUGGGACCCCCUGGUGGUGGCGGUCCUCCAGGAACACCCAUUAUGCCCAGUCCCGCAGAUUCAACAAAUUCCAGUGACAACAUCUACACAAUGAUUAAUCCAGUGCCGCCUGGAGGCAGCCGGUCCAACUUCCCGAUGGGUCCCGGCUCGGACGGUCCGAUGGGCGGCAUGGGUGGCAUGGAGCCACACCACAUGAAUGGAUCAUUAGGGUCAGGCGACAUAGACGGACUUCCAAAAAAUUCUCCUAACAACAUAAGUGGCAUUAGCAAUCCUCCAGGCACCCCUCGAGAUGACGGCGAGCUAGGAGGGAACUUCCUCCACUCCUUUCAGAACGACAAUUAUUCUCCAAGCAUGACGAUGAGUGUGUGAUCCCCCCUUCUCCGAGACGCUGAGAGAGCAGGCAUUGCAGGCGGGAAGAUGCCAGAAAUUAUGCAAGAAGUGAGGUGUCAUUAUCCAGGAGCUGGUGGGGAGGGCAUCUCCCUGCUCCCCUCAACCCCCUCCCACCCCAUCCACGCCCCCUACCUUUCCCAAUUUUAGUUUCAUGCAAUAAAAAGGCCAAACUUUUUAUUCCAUAAAACAAGAAGGACAAAACUCUCAAAAAUGUAUUUCAAGUCAGUGACCAGAAAAAUCCCACCCCUUGCCCUUUCCCCAAAGGACCUUUUCUGUACAUGACACUUUUUUGUUGUUUUUUGUUUGGGGUUUUACCAUUGUUGGGAUUUUUUUAUUUGUUUUCAGGGGGGUUUUUUGGGGGAAAAUUUUUUUAAAUGGAAGCUUCUAGCAAGCCCCCCACCCCAAUCAACCUCUAUGCUUUCUUCUU